UUCCCAGACUCCUACGGGAGGCAGCAGUGAGGAAUAUUGGUCAAUGGGCUAAGGCCUGAACCAGCCAAGUCGCGUGAGGGAAGACGGUCCUAUGGAUUGUAAACCUCUUUUGUCGGGGAGCAACGAGGCCACGUGUGGCCGAAGUGAGAGUACCCGAAGAAAAAGCAUCGGCUAACUCCGUGCCAGCAGCCGCGGUAAUACGGAGGAUGCGAGCGUUAUCCGGAUUUAUUGGGUUUAAAGGGUGCGCAGGCGGGCUGUUAAGCCGGCGGUAAAAAUUCAGGGCUCAACCCUGUCGAGCCGUCGGAACUGGCAGUCUUGAGUGGGCGAGAAGUAUGCGGAAUGCGUGGUGUAGCGGUGAAAUGCAUAGAUAUCACGCAGAACGCCGAUUGCGAAGGCAGCAUACCGGCGCCCGACUGACGCUGAGGCACGAAAGCGUGGGGAUCGAACAGGAUUAGAUACCCUGGUAU
rnacentral:rRNA from 1 species